GUAGCUCAGAGGUAGAGCACUUGCUUAGCACGUGCAAGGCCCUGGGUUCAAUCCCCAGC
rnacentral:tRNA from 1 species